GUGUCAGCAGCCGCGGUAAGACGAACCGUGCGAACGUUGUUCGGAAUCACUGGGCUUAAAGGGCGCGUAGGCGGGCCGUCUGGUCCGGGGUGAAAUCGUUCGGCUCAACCGAACCAUUGCCUGGGAUACCGGCGGUCUGGAGGGGGGUAGGGGCGGAUGGAACUCCGGGUGGAGCGGUGAAAUGUGUUGAUAUCCGGAGGAACGCCGGUGGCGAAAGCGAUCCGCUGGACCCCACCUGACGCUGAGGCGCGAAAGCCAGGGGAGCGAACGGGAUUAGAAACCCUAGUAGUCC
rnacentral:rRNA from 1 species